rnacentral:rRNA from 1 species
CCUACGGGUGGCUGCAGUCGAGAAUCUUUCACAAUGGGGGCAACCCUGAUGGAGCGACGCCGCGUGGAGGAUAAGGUCUUCGGAUUGUAAACUCCUGUCAUGCGAGAACAAGGUUGCAGGGCUAACACCUUUGCAAAUUGAUGGUACCGCAAGAGGAAGAGACGGCUAACCCUGUGCCAGCAGCCGCGGUAAUACAGAGGUCUCAAGCGUUGUUCGGAAGGGUGCGUCGUAAAGGUUGUAAGUCAGGCGUGAAAGCCCGGGGCUCAACCUCGGAAUUGCAUCCGAUACUGCCAUGCUGGAGUACUGAAGAGGUGACUAGAAUUCUAGGUGUAGCAGUGAAAUGCGUAGAUAUCUAGAGGAAUACCAACGGCGAAGGCAGGUCACUGGGCAGUUACUGACACUGAGGCACGAAGGCCAGGGGAGCAAACGGGAUUAGAUACCCUUGUAGUC